AGGUAGCUUGCUACCGGACCUAGCGGCGGACGGGUGAGUAAUGCUUAGGAAUCUGCCUAUUAGUGGGGGACAACAUCUCGAAAGGGAUGCUAAUACCGCAUACGUCCUACGGGAGAAAGCAGGGGAUCUUCGGACCUUGCGCUAAUAGAUGAGCCUAAGUCGGAUUAGCUAGUUGGUGGGGUAAAGGCCUACCAAGGCGACGAUCUGUAGCGGGUCUGAGAGGAUGAUCCGCCACACUGGGACUGAGACACGGCCCAGACUCCUACGGGAGGCAGCAGUGGGGAAUAUUGGACAAUGGGGGGAACCCUGAUCCAGCCAUGCCGCGUGUGUGAAGAAGGCCUUAUGGUUGUAAAGCACUUUAAGCGAGGAGGAGGCUACUUUAGUUAAUACCUAGAGAUAGUGGACGUUACUCGCAAAAUAAGCACCGGCUAACUCUGUGCCAGCAGCCGCGGUAAUACAGAGGGUGCGAGCGUUAAUCGGAUUUACUGGGCGUAAAGCGUGCGUAGGCGGCUUAUUAAGUCGGAUGUGAAAUCCCCGAGCUUAACUUGGGAAUUGCAUUCGAUACUGGUGAGCUAGAGUAUGGGAGAGGAUGGUAGAAUUCCAGGUGUAGCGGUGAAAUGCGUAGAGAUCUGGAGGAAUACCGAUGGCGAAGGCAGCCAUCUGGCCUAAUACUGACGCUGAGGUACGAAAGCAUGGGGAGCAAACAGGAUUAGAUACCCUGGUUAG
rnacentral:rRNA from 1 species